CAUCGAGUUUUUGAACGCAAGUUGCGCCCGAAGCCUUUGGUUGAGGGCACGUCUGCCUGGGCGUCACGC
rnacentral:rRNA from 1 species